CAGCAGUGGGGAAUAUUGCACAAUGGGCGCAAGCCUGAUGCAGCCAUGCCGCGUGUGUGAAGAAGGCCUUCGGGUGUAAAGCACUUUCAGUCGUGAGGAAGGCGGCGUCGUUAAUAGCGUAUUCGUUUGACGUUAGCGACAGAAGAAGCACCGGCUAACUCCGUGCCAGCAGCCGCGGUAAUACGGAGGGUGCGAGCGUUAAUCGGAAUUACUGGGCGUAAAGCGCAUGCAGGUGGUUUGUUAAGUCAGAUGUGAAAGCCCGGGGCUCAACCUCGGAAUAGCAUUUGAAACUGGCAGACUAGAGUACUGUAGAGGGGGGUAGGAAUUUCAGGUGUAGCGGUGAAAUGCGUAGAGAUCUGAAGGAAUACCGGUGGCGAAGGCGGCCCCCUGGACAGAUACUGACACUCAGAUGCGAAAGCGUGGGGAGCAAACAGGAUUAGAUACCCUGGUAG
rnacentral:rRNA from 1 species